rnacentral:rRNA from 1 species
UACGUAGGGUGCGAGCGUUUAAUCGGAAUUACUGGGCGUAAAGCGUGCGCAGGCGGUCUCUUAAGACAGGUGUGAAAAUCCCCGGGCUUAACCUGGGAACUGCGUUUGAUACGGAUGGGCUAGAGUUCGGGAGAGGAGAGUGGAAUUCCCAGUGUAGAGGUGAAAUUCGUAGAUAUUGGGAAGAACACCGGUGGCGAAGGCGGCUCUCUGGACCGAGACUGACGCUGAGGCGCGAAAGCGUGGGGAGCAACA